rnacentral:rRNA from 1 species
UACGUAGGGUGCAAGCGUUGUCCGGAAUUAUUGGGCGUAAAGAGCUCGUAGGCGGUUUGUCGCGUCUGCUGUGAAAACUCGGGGCUUAACUCCGGGCCUGCAGUGGGUACGGGCAGACUAGAGGCAGGUAGGGGAGAAUGGAAUUCCUGGUGUAGCGGUGAAAUGCGCAGAUAUCAGGAGGAACACCAAUUGCGAAGGCAGCUCGCUGGGACGUAACUGACGCUGAGACGCGAAAGCGUGGGGAGCAAACAGG